ACAAUUUUUUGUAAAGAACGGGAAAAUAAAUUUGAGUGUGUGUAUCAGCAGUGUUAGAUAAUUUUGAAUGGAAUUAUGUGGUUGAGAGUACGCAACAUUGGAUACUCUGGUAGUGGAAGGAGGGUGGAGUUAUUGGGAGAGCCACACGCCAUAUUGAAUCAUGAAUUGGUAAUAGACCACAAAAAACACAACAUACGAAUCAUAUUUCCUGUGAGUAAAUUUAACCAAUAAUCACUGAACUUUACACUUAAUUACUACUUGCUCACUCAUCUUUCACAUAUUACUGAAUGCUCACUCAUCUUUUCAUAUAAUUACUCAUUCACCACUCGUCUCUUCAAAUAAUUGGGCUACUUUUACGGCAAAUUUUCGACAACUUCCGACCACAAAGAAUGUCGAAUUUUGAUACCGUUGGAAAGCCCACGAUGUCCUCUUCAAUUACCAUCAAAAAUCUCAUUAUAACUCCAAGGGAUUCGAUAGAAAAAUUGCCUUAAAAGUCGCCCAAAAAUUCUGAAAAUCUGCCCAGAUUUUCAAAUUUUUUGGACGACUUUUAAGGCAAUUUUUCGGCAACUUUCGACCAUCAAAACUAUCUAAUUUUGAUACCAUUGGAAAGCCCACAAUGUCCUCUUCAAUUACCACCCAAAAUUUUCCGAUAACUCCAAAGGAUUCGGUCGGAAUAAACCCACAAAGUCAGCAUCCCGAACUUUGUCCAGCUUUCGCUUUUUCAAGAUGCUGACUUUGUGGGUUUAUUCCGACCGAAUCCUUUGGAGUUAUCGGGAAAUUUUGGGUGGUAAUUGAAGAGGACAUUGUGAGCUUUCCAAUGGUAUCAAAAUUAGAUAGUUUUGAUGGUCGAAAGUUGCCGAAAAAUUACCUUAAAAGUCGCCCAAAAAAUCUGAAAAUCUAGGCAGAUUUUCAGAAUUUUUGGGCGACUUUUAAGGCAAUUUUUCGAUCGAAUCCCUGGAGUUAUAAUGAGAUUUUGGGUGGUAAUUGAAGAGGAUAUCGUGGGCUUUCCAACGGUAUCAAAAUUCGACAUUCUUUGUGGUCGGAAGUUGUCGAAAAUUUGUCAUAAAAGUAGCCCAAUUAUUUGAAGAGACGAGUGGUGAAUGAGUAAUUAUAUGAAAAGAUGAGUGAGCAUUCAAUAAUAUGUGAAAGAUGAGUGAGCAAGUAGUAAUCAAGUGUAAAGUUUAGUGAUUAUUGGUUAAAUUUACUCUAUUUCCUGUCCUCAAAUUAAAACCCCAAAUUAGCAGCGAAAAUUCUCGACAUUUUUUUUUUCGUAUUGUAAUUCAAGACCCCAAAUUAGCAGCGAAAAUUCUCGACAUUUUUUUUUUCGUAUUGUAAUUCAAGUUCCUAACUUUUCUCAUUAGUAGAACAAUCAGUUUUUU
rnacentral:lncRNA from 1 species